CCCAGACUCCUACGGGAGGCAGCAGUGGGGAAUAUUGCACAAUGGGGGAAACCCUGAUGCAGCGACGCCGCGUGAGUGAAGAAGUAUUUCGGUAUGUAAAGCUCUCUCAGCAGGGAAGAAAAUGACGGUACCUGACUAAGAAGCCCCGGCUAACUACGUGCCAGCAGCCGCGGUAAUACGUAGGGGGCAAGCGUUAUCCGGAUUUACUGGGUGUAAAGGGAGCGUAGACGGCAUGGCAAGUCAGGUGUGAAAGCCCGGGGCUCAACCCCGGGACUGCAUUUGAAACUGUCAGGCUGGAGUGCAGGAGAGGUAAGUGGAAUUCCUAGUGUAGCGGUGAAAUGCGUAGAUAUUAGGAGGAACACCAGUGGCGAAGGCGGCCUACUGGACUGUAACUGACGUUGAGGCUCGAAAGCGUGGGGAGCAAACAGGAUUAGAUACCCUGGUAC
rnacentral:rRNA from 1 species